AGUGGCGGACGGGUGAGUAACGCGUGGGUAACCUGCCUCAUACAGGGGGAUAACAGUUAGAAAUGACUGCUAAUACCGCAUAAGACCACGGAGCCGCAUGGCUCAGUGGGAAAAACUCCGGUGGUAUGAGAUGGACCCGCGUCUGAUUAGGUAGUUGGUGGGGUAACGGCCUACCAAGCCGACGAUCAGUAGCCGACCUGAGAGGGUGACCGGCCACAUUGGGACUGAGACACGGCCCAA
rnacentral:rRNA from 1 species